AGAGUUUGAUCCUGGCUCAGAGCGAACGCUGGCGGCAGGCUUAACACAUGCAAGUCGAGCGGGCGUAGCAAUACGUCAGCGGCAGACGGGUGAGUAACGCGUGGGAACGUACCUUUUGGUCCGGAACAACCCAGGGAAACUUGGGCUAAUACCGGAUAAGCCCUUACGGGGAAAGAUUUAUCGCCGAAAGAUCGGCCCGCGUCUGAUUAGCUAGUUGGUGAGGUAAUGGCUCACCAAGGCGACGAUCAGUAGCUGGUCUGAGAGGAUGAUCAGCCACAUUGGGACUGAGACACGGCCCAAACUCCUACGGGAGGCAGCAGUGGGGAAUAUUGGACAAUGGGCGCAAGCCUGAUCCAGCCAUGCCGCGUGAGUGAUGAAGGCCCUAGGGUUGUAAAGCUCUUUUGUGCGGGAAGAUAAUGACGGUACCGCAAGAAUAAGCCCCGGCUAACUUCGUGCCAGCAGCCGCGGUAAUACGAA
rnacentral:rRNA from 1 species